rnacentral:rRNA from 1 species
UACGUAGGGAGCAAGCGUUGUUCGGAUUUACUGGGUGUAAAGGGCGCGUAGGCGGCAUGUUAAGUCAGCUGUGAAAUCUCCGAGCUUAACUCGGAACUGUCAGCUGAUACUGAUGUGCUUGAGUGCGGAAGGGGCAAUCGGAAUUCUUGGUGUAGCGGUGGAAUGCGUAGAUAUCAAGAGGAACACCUGAGGUGAAGACGGGUUGCUGGGCCGACACUGACGCUGAGUGCGCGAAAGCCAGGGGAGCAAACGGG